CCUACGGGAGGCAGCAGUGAGGAAUAUUGGUCAAUGGGCGAGAGCCUGAACCAGCCAAGUCGCGUGAGGGAGUACUGCCCUAUGGGUUGUAAACCUCUUUUGUCGGGGAGCAAAAGCCGGACGUGUCCGGCUGUGAGAGUACCCGAAGAAAAAGCAUCGGCUAACUCCGUGCCAGCAGCCGCGGUAAUACGGAGGAUGCGAGCGUUAUCCGGAGUUAUUGGGUUUAACGGGUGCGCAGGCGGAUUUUUAAGUCAGCGGUAAAAUCGUGGGGCUCAACCCCAUCCAGCCGUUGAAACUGGGGAUCUAGAGUGUGCGAGAGGUAUGCGGAAUGCGUGGUGUAGCGGUGAAAUGCAUAGAUAUCACGCAGAACCCCGAUUGCGAAGGCAGCAUACCGGUGCACAACUGACGCUCAGGCACGAAAGCGUGGGUAUCGAACAGGAUUAGAUACCCUGGUAGUC
rnacentral:rRNA from 1 species